rnacentral:misc_RNA from 1 species
UGAAAUUGGAAGUGCUGAUGGGCAUGAUGAUGGUGGAGAUAGGCAAGGUUCAGCAGAUGCUAGAACUAGGAGGACUAACGUAUCGUUUGGAAAUUCUACUCAGGUAAGUGCGAGAGAUGUUGCCCUUCACAGUGUAUCUGAAGCUUCAGAACAUCCAAAUCAAGAAGCAGAACAAGGUGGACCCAAUGAUGAACAGCAACGUAAUGUAGAUGCUGAUUCUGGAUCAAUUGAUCCUGCAUUUCUUGAGGCGCUUCCUGAGGAGUUGCGAGCCGAGGUUCUCUCAGCUCAACAGGGUCAAGCAACUCAACCACCAAAUUCUGAGCCUCAAAAUGGUGGAGAUAUUGAUCCAGAAUUUCUGGCAGCCCUUCCGUCUGACAUCAGAGAAGAAGUGUUGGCACAGCAAAGGGCACAGCGGCUGCAGCAGUCACAAGAAUUAGAAGGCCAGCCUGUUGAGAUGGACACUGUGUCAAUUAUUGCUACAUUCCCUUCAGAACUACGGGAAGAGGUCCUUCUGACAUCUUCUGAUGCCAUUCUUGCUAAUUUAACACCUGCUCUUGUGGCGGAAGCAAAUAUGUUGCGUGAGAGAUUUGCACGUAGGUAUAACCGAACACUUUUUGGUAUGUAUCCUAGAAACCGUAGAGGCGACUCUAGGCGGAAUGAACAAUUGGACAGGGCUGGUGGAACCCUUUCACGUAGAUCAGCCGGAAGUAAGCCUCUGGAGGCUGAUGGGUCUCCCUUAGUUGACACUGAGGGUUUAAGAGCUUUGGUGAGGUUGCUCCGCGUAUUCCAGCCAAUAUACAAAGUUCCUCUACAGAGGCUGAUGUUGAAUCUCAGUGCACAUGCUGAAACAAGAACUGCUUUAGUGAAAAUAUUUAUGGACUUGUUGAUGCUUGAUGUCGGACAGCCUGCUACUGAUCUGAAUACUGCUGAACCCCCAUAUCGACUAUAUGGUUGCCAAAGUAAUGUGAUGUAUUCACGUCCUCAACAUCUUGAUGGAAUUCCUCCAUUACUAUCUCGUCGUGUUCUUGAGACACUUACAUACCUGGCAAAGAACCAUUCUUUAGUUGCAAAGACUCUACUUGAAUUCAGGCUCCCUCGACCAGUGCUGGAAGGGCCAAUAGUUCCGGAUCAGAGGCGGGGAAAAGCUGUUAUGGUUGAGGCUGAUGGACCAGAUAGAUGGCAGCUUGAAGGACAAGUAUCUCUGGCAUUGCUUUUGGGCCUCUUGAACCAUCCCCUUUAUUUGAGAAGUGUUGCACAUCUUGAGCAGCUGUUAAAUCUGCUAGAUGUUGUAGUCCAAAACACAGAAAGCAAAUCAAAUGCGCGUGAAGAACCUGGCACAUCCUCUACAGAGCAACUGCCUGGUCCUCCAGUCCAAUCUGCUGCUGAAAUGAAUACUGAAUCUCAUGCAGCUUCAUCUGAGGUUGAGGACAAAUCUGGAGCAUCGUCCUCUAUCACAGGCAGAGACCAAAGUACUGAAAGUAUUCUACUCAGUCUACCACAAUUAGAACUUCGACGUCUGUGCUCAUUGCUUGCCAGAGAAGGUCUUUCAGACAAUGCUUACUCUUUGGUAGCUGAGGUACUGAAAAAGUUGGUGGCCAUAGCUCCUGCCAUUUGUCAUUUAUUUAUUACUGAGCUUGCUGGCUCGGUGCAAAGUCUGACCAGAUCUGCGAUGGAUGAGCUAAACAAGUUUAGGGAAGUGGAAAAAGCACUGCUCAGUACCACUUCAACUGAUGGCGCUGUGAUACUCAGGGUUUUACAAGCAUUAAGCUCUCUUGUUGCUUCAAUUGGUGACAAGAACAACGAGAAUCAAAUUAUUUCUGAGAAGGAGCACGGUGUUACUAUCUCCCUGGUUUGGGACAUUAACACAGCUCUAGAACCUCUAUGGCAGGAGCUGAGCACUUGCAUUAGCACAAUGGAGAGUUUUUCAGAAACAGCACCCAACCUGCCUCAAUCAUCUAUUGUUACCUCAUCUAAACCUGCUGGAGCAAUGUCUUCGCUUCCUGCAGGCUCACAAAACAUUUUACCGUACGUAGAGUCCUUUUUUGUGAUGUGUGAGAAGUUGCAUCCUGGGCAUUUGGGUGCAGGACAGGAGUUCAGUAUUGCGACAGUUCCUGAUCCAGAAGAGGCUACUGCUUCUGCUAUGCAGCCAAAAACACCUACAUCUGCAACAAAAGUUGAUGAGAAGCACAUUGCUUUUGUAAAAUUUGCAGAGAAGCACAAAAAACUUCUUAAUGCUUUUGUUCGGCAGAAUCCUGGACUACUGGAGAAGUCUUUCUCGAUCAUGCUGAAGGUUCCUCGUUUUGUUGAUUUUGACAAUAA